rnacentral:rRNA from 1 species
CACAUGCAAGUCGAACGGAAAGGCCCUUCGGGGUACUCGAGUGGCGAACGGGUGAGUAACACGUGGGUGAUCUGCCCUGCACUUUGGGAUAAGCCUGGGAAACUGGGUCUAAUACCGAAUAUGACCACGCGCUUCAUGGUGUGUGGUGGAAAGCUUUUGCGGUGUGGGAUGGGCCCGCGGCCUAUCAGCUUGUUGGUGGGGUAAUGGCCUACCAAGGCGACGACGGGUAGCCGGCCUGAGAGGGUGACCGGCCACACUGGGACUGAGAUACGGCCCAGACUCCUACGGGAGGCAGCAGUGGGGAAUAUUGCACAAUGGGCGCAAGCCUGAUGCAGCGACGCCGCGUGAGGGAUGACGGCCUUCGGGUUGUAAACCUCUUUCAAUAGGGACGAAGCGCAAGUGACGGUACCUAUAGAAGAAGGACCGGCCAACUACGUGCCAGCAGCCGCGGUAAUACGUAGGGUCCGAGCGUUGUCCGGAAUUACUGGGCGUAAAGAGCUCGUAGGUGGUUUGUCGCGUUGUUCGUGAAAACUCACAGCUUAACUGUGGGCGUGCGGGCGAUACGGGCAGACUAGAGUACUGCAGGGGAGACUGGAAUUCCUGGUGUAGCGGUGGAAUGCGCAGAUAUCAGGAGGAACACCGGUGGCGAAGGCGGGUCUCUGGGCAGUAACUGACGCUGAGGAGCGAAAGCGUGGGGAGCGAACAGGAUUAGAUACCCUGGUAGUCCACGCCGUAAACGGUGGGUACUAGGUGUGGGUUUCCUUCCUUGGGAUCCGUGCCGUAGCUAACGCAUUAAGUACCCCGCCUGGGGAGUACGGCCGCAAGGCUAAAACUCAAAGGAAUUGACGGGGGCCCGCACAAGCGGCGGAGCAUGUGGAUUAAUUCGAUGCAACGCGAAGAACCUUACCUGGGUUUGACAUGCACAG